AGAGUGAACGCUGGCGGUAGGCCUAACACAUGCAAGUCGAACGGCAGCACAGUGGUAGCAAUACCAUGGGUGGCGAGUGGCGGACGGGUGAGGAAUACAUCGGAAUCUACCUUUUCGUGGGGGAUAACGUAGGGAAACUUACGCUAAUACCGCAUACGCCCUUCGGGGGAAAGCCGGGGAUCGCAAGACCUGGCGCGGAUAGAUGAGCCGAUGUCGGAUUAGCUAGUUGGUGAGGUAAUGGCUCACCAAGGCGACGAUCCGUAGCUGGUCUGAGAGGAUGAUCAGCCACACUGGAACUGAGACACGGUCCAGACUCCUACGGGAGCAGCAGUGGGGAAUAUUGGACAAUGGG
rnacentral:rRNA from 1 species